rnacentral:tRNA from 1 species
UGUCGGAGUGGCGGAAUUGGCAGACGCGCUAGCUUGAGGUGCUAGUGACUUACUAAACGGUCGUGCGGGUUCAAGUCCCGCCUCCGACACCAC